rnacentral:rRNA from 1 species
AUUGAACGCUGGCGGCAGGCCUAACACAUGCAAGUCGAGCGGAUGACGGGAGCUUGCUCCUUGAUUCAGCGGCGGACGGGUGAGUAAAGCUUAGGAAUCUGCCUAUUAGUGGGGGACAACAUUCCGAAAGGAAUGCUUAUACCGCAUACGUCCUACGGGAGAAAGCAGGGGAUCUUCGGACCUUGCGCUAAUAGAUGAGCCUAAGUCAGAUUAGCUAGUUGGUGGGGUAAAGGCCUACCAAGGCGACGAUCUGUAGCGGGGCUGAGAGGAUGGUCCGCCACACUGGGGCUGAGACACGGCCCAGACUCCUACGGGAGGCAGCAGUGGGGAAUAUUGGACAAUGGGGGGAACCCUGAUCCAGCCAUGCCGCGUGUGUGAAGAAGGCCUUUUGGUUGUAAAGCACUUUAAGCGAGGAGGAGGCUACUGGUAUUAAUACUACCGGAUAGUGGACGUUACUCGCAGAAUAAGCACCGGCUAACUCUGUGCCAGCCGCCGCAGUAACAC